CACGUCAGCGCGACCUGCUGACGUGGAAGGAAAUCGCUAUCUCAAGGACGCGAUUUAUUUCCACGUCAGCAGGUCGCGCUGACGUGG
rfam:Gossypium raimondii Chr08_contig_1083, whole genome shotgun sequence.